rnacentral:rRNA from 1 species
UACGUAGGGUACGAGCGUUGUCCGGAAUUAUUGGGCGUAAAGAGCUCGUAGGUGGUUGGUCACGUCUGCUGUGGAAACGCAACGCUUAACGUUGCGCGGGCAGUGGGUACGGGCUGACUAGAGUGCAGUAGGGGAGUCUGGAAUUCCUGGUGUAGCGGUGAAAUGCGCAGAUAUCAGGAGGAACACCGGUGGCGAAGGCGGGACUCUGGGCUGUAACUGACACUGAGGAGCGAAAGCAUGGGGAGCGAACAGGAUUAGAUACCCGU